rnacentral:misc_RNA from 1 species
UUAACUAUUAUAUAGUACUCAGACAUCAUAUAUUUCAAGAGUUGUGGUCCUCUGGCAGGCACUCAGCAGCCGAAGCCGCUGGCACGAGGCGUCCUGCCAAAGCAACAAAGGUAAUUUAUUCAAGGGUGGAGGUCUGAACCGAGCUUCUGCGAGAGGCCCGACGUCUCUAAACCCUCCGAGGAGGGUAGCCCCCAGGAUUUCUCCCGGGGCGCUGACUAUUCAUUGCUCUAUUAAUGAUCCUUCCGCAGGUUCACCUACGGAAA